UACGUAGGGUGCGAGCGUUGUCCGGAAUUAUUGGGCGUAAAGGGCUCGUAGGCGGUCUGUCGCGUCGGGAGUGAAAACUCAGGGCUUAACCCUGAGCCUGCUUCCGAUACGGGCAGACUAGAGGUAUGCAGGGGAGAACGGAAUUCCUGGUGUAGCGGUGAAAUGCGCAGAUAUCAGGAGGAACACCAGUGGCGAAGGCGGUUCUCUGGGCAUUACCUGACGCUGAGGAGCGAAAGCCAGGGGAGCAAACGGG
rnacentral:rRNA from 1 species